UACGUAGGGUGCAAGCGUUAAUCGGAAUUACUGGGCGUAAAGCGUGCGCAGGCGGUUUUGUAAGACUGUCGUGAAAUCCCCGGGCUUAACCUGGGAAUGGCGAUGGUGACUGCAAGGCUGGAGUUUGGCAGAGGGGGGUAGAAUUCCACGUGUAGCAGUGAAAUGCGUAGAGAUGUGGAGGAACACCGAUGGCGAAGGCAGCCCCCUGGGUCAAAACUGACGCUCAUGCACGAAAGCGUGGGGAGCAAACAGG
rnacentral:rRNA from 1 species